AGUGAACGCUGGCGGUAGGCCUAACACAUGCAAGUCGAACGGCAGCACAGUAAGAGCUUGCUCUUACGGGUGGCGAGUGGCGGACGGGUGAGGAAUACAUCGGAAUCUACUUUUUCGUGGGGGAUAACGUAGGGAAACUUACGCUAAUACCGCAUACGACCUACGUGUGAAAGCAGGGGAUCUUCGGACCUUGCGCGAUUGAAUGAGCCGAUGUCGGAUUAGCUAGUUGGCGGGGUAAAGGCCCACCAAGGCGACGAUCCGUAGCUGGUCUGAGAGGAUGAUCAGCCACACUGGAACUGAGACACGGUCCAGACUCCUACGGGAGGCAGCAGUGGGGAAUAUUGGACAAUGGGCGCAAGCCUGAUCCAGCCAUACCGCGUGGGUGAAGAAGGCCUUCGGGUUGUAAAGCCCUUUUGUUGGGAAAGAAAAGCAGCAGGUUAAUACCACGCUGUUCUGACGGUACCCAAAGAAUAAGCACCGGCUAACUUCGUG
rnacentral:rRNA from 1 species